GGUCAGAUACUGUUGUCGAUGGGUCGUCUUGGAGGGGGUCAGAUACUGUUGUCGAUGGGUCGUCUUGGAGGGGGGGCUCAGAUACUGUUGUCGAUGGGUUGUCUGGGAGGGGUCAGAUACUGUUGUUGAUGGGUGUCUGGGAGGGGGUCAGAUACUGUUGUCGAUGGGUAGUCUGGGAGGGGGUCAGAUACUGUGUUGUGGGUUGUCUGGGAG